CCGCAUGAACACUCUUUUUAUAUUCCAAAAAGAAACUUUUAUUUCUUCACAAUGACGUCUAUAUCCUUUUGGAUUCCUUGCAUAGUAUCUUCAUUUUCUAUAAUACCGUAUGCAUCCUUCUUUUAUUUUAAUUUUAUUUUAAAUCUAAUUUUCUUCAAACUUGAGUCUUUUUGAUCUAUGAAUCAGACUCUUUAUAUUGACGAUCAUCUUUCCUGUAAAAUAUAAAAAGA
rnacentral:lncRNA from 1 species